rnacentral:rRNA from 1 species
CCUACGGGCGGCAGCAGUGAGGAAUAUUGGUCAAUGGCCGGGAGGCUGAACCAGCCAAGUCGCGUGAGGGAAGACGGCCCUACGGGUUGUAAACCUCAUUUGUCAGGGAGCAAUGUUCAGGUCGGGACCUGCUGUGAGAGUACCUGAAGACCAAGCAUCGGCUAACUCCGUGCCAGCAGCCGCGGUAAUACGGAGGAUGCGAGCGUUAUCCGGAUUUAUUGGUUUUAAAGGGUGAGCAGGCGGAGGCACAAGUCAGCGGUAAAAUACGGGGGCUCAACCCCGCGCCGCCGUUGAAACUGUUGCCCUUGAGUGCGCGAAGGGUAGGCGGAAUGCGUGGUGUAGCGGUGAAAUGCAUAGAUAUCACGCAGAACUCCGAUCGCGAAGGCAGCCUACCGGCGCGCAACUGACGCUCAUGCACGAAAGCGUGGGUAUCGAACAGGAGUAGAUACCCUUGUAGUC